rnacentral:precursor_RNA from 15 species
CAUAAAUAUCGUUUAAAUGUAUCCAUUUUUAGGCCGUGCUAUGUGACAAUAUGUAUUUAAAUUGUAUUUAUCAUAUUGCACAUCUCCCGGCCUACAAGUGUAAAUGCACAAUUCAACUAUGUACA